rnacentral:rRNA from 1 species
CACGUAGGGGGCGAGCGUUGUCCGGAAUCACUGGGCGUAAAGGGCGUGUAGGCGGCUGAUUAAGUCAGUUGUAAAAGGCUGCGGCUUAACCGCAGAAGUGCAAUUGAAACUGGUCAGCUUGAGGGCAAGAGAGGAAAGCGGAAUUCCUAGUGUAGCGGUGAAAUGCGUAGAUAUUAGGAGGAACACCAGUGGCGAAGGCGGCUUUCUGGCUUGACCCUGACGCUGAGGCGCGAAAGCGUGGGGAGCAAACAGGAUUAGAUACCCUGGUAGUCCACGCCGUAAACGAUGGGUACUAGGUGUAGGAGGUAUCGACCCCUUCUGUGCCGUAGCAAACGCAUUAAGUACCCCGCCUGGGGAGUACGGCCGCAAGGCUGAAACUCAAAGGAAUUGACGGGGGCCCGCACAAGCGGUGGAGCAUGUGGUUUAAUUCGACGCAACGCGAAGAACCUUACCAGGACUUGACAUCCCUUGACGGUGCUGGAAACAGCAUUUUCCCUUCGGGGACAAGGAGACAGGUGGUGCAUGGUU